GAAACAAACACUAAAGGCCAGGCUCCGUCAUGGGAAGGGAUUACCAGAAGGACAGAGAAAGAACUUGGAGUGCUUGUAUUCUUAAGAAUAUACGCAUGUUCUAGCAGAUCGGGCAGCAUCUGUGGCAAGGGAAACAGAAUGAUCACUUUGGAGUGCCUCAUUCGCAGAGCCACGAAUUUGGGUCCCAAGGCCCAUCUGCUCAUCAACACUGUUACAGCAGCACUCAAAGACUGAGGUUCAGCAUGACGGUGUGUUGCCGUUCUCAGAGCUCGCUGAUCGGCUGCGUUUCGACAUAACCAGGUGCCUUUAGGGCCCGCAGGGCUCUACAGAGACAAGUUCUCGGUGGCGUCGCGUACUGAAGCACAACGGGAGCUGGAACCUCGAAGACAGCAAGAGUGGCUGUUGGAGAGCUCUGCACUCGGUAAGCCGAAUCUUGAGUUGGAGAACACGAAGCAAGCAAUGGUUCAGACUGACUGUAAUAUCAAAAUAGCGACUGUUUUCUCCUCUGUCACAGUGGAAGGAGUGAUAUCUGUGGAGCGAGCCUGUUGAAUGUUGGAGUGAACAGUUAGUUCUUGAUGUAUUGUAAACCAUGAUAAUAGACAAUAGGUGCAGGAGUAGGCCAUUUGGCCCUUCUAGCCAGCACGGCCAUUCACUGUGAUCAUGGCUGAUCAUAGACAAUUAGUAUCCCGUUCCUGCCCUCUCCCAUAUCCCUUGACCCCGCUAUCUAUAAGAGCUCUAUCUAAUCUUUAGG